UACGGGGGGCAAGCGUUGUUCGGAAUUACUGGGCGUAAAGGCUCGUAGGUGGCCAACUAAGUCAGACGUGAAUCCCUCGGCUUAACCGGGAACUGCGUCUGAUACUGGAUGGCUUGAGAUUGGGAGAGGGAUGCGGAAUUCCAGGUGUAGCGGUGAAUGCGUAGAUAUCUGGAGGAACACCGGUGGCGAAGGCGGCAUCCUGGACCAACACUGACACUGAGGAGCGAAGCCAGGAGCAACGG
rnacentral:rRNA from 1 species